AUGUUGCACAAGAUUGUAAGGAUAAGUUUGUACUAUCCCUUAACUUUUUUAGUAAUCACUUUCAUUAUCCUUUCACUCACUUCCACAAUAAGAACAAAGAAGGGAGACCCAAAGAGUUUACUCUCGACAGGAAAUAAACUGCCUCUGUAUCCAUUAGGGAAAGUUUCAGUUUUUCUUGAGGUCCAUCUUUAUUUGUUCAAAUGGAAUUUAAAAGAUUAUGGAUUUCUACUUUCACAUUCUUUUAUGGUUAUUUUCCUAGCUAUGUGUUUAGAACUAUUUUCCAUCCAGCAUCUUUUCUGCCUACAGUUUUCUUAGCUGCAGUCCCAACACAUCAGCUAUCUAGAUUAAUUGAUUACAUUAUCUACAAAUAUCAUAACACUAAGGAUAUCCUUCUUAAUUGUUAUUAUUAUAUAUACUACUUUCUAAAGAUUCCUCAUCAUAGAUUCUUAUAUUAAAAGCAUCAUUGCCCCAAGAGUGUGUGGUUUCUCUAAAACCAUGUGCACAAACACAUGACUGAACACUAUUUCAAUCUGCUGUAUUUAGCUCAGGCACCAACAUAACUUUUAAUCAGGAUCAAUUUAUCAAGUGCUGGAUAAUUCACAGUAAAUUGGUAGAGUAAAAUGUCUCGCCUACUACACUACCACAGGCUGUAGUAAUAUAUUUUUACACUGCUGUAUAGAAGUUGCCACCUUCAAGAGGUGCAAUAGGCAAUUAAAUUCCAUCCCUCUGCCACAAUUUUGGAACAUUAUUUGAGCCUAAUUGGUGGACCUCCACAAUUAGAAAAAAGAAGAAAAAAACUAGAUUCUGCUAAUCUCAAGACCUCCCACAUUGUUCCAGCUAUCUUUCCUUUAAUAGGCGGCUGAUUUGUCCUACACUGCCUUUGUAAGUUGCUAGUAACUAAGACUUAAUACAACAAUUAAGACUUAAUGUAAUAAAGUGUUUGAGAUAUGCAUUUUAAAAGGCGUGCACUAAUAUGCUUUGUCACCGAUACUUCUCUCCAGCGCUUUGUCUUGUUUUUUCCACAGUGAUGAAACACACAACUACAUAAAACUGCUUUCAUUUUUUUGAAUCUUAACUAGAAAUAUUUUCUGCUUGCUAUUCCUCAUAAACCAGUUCUCACUUCCAGUUGUUUACUCAAAAUUGCUUUCCAUAUUAUUUGUUUUCCAUAUAUAUAAACAUUUUGGAUUCAUUUGUGAUUGCUGCAUUGUAAAUAAAGAUUACACCAGUGUAUACCAGCUGUAAUUGUUACAAAAAGAUUUCCUCAAAAAGGCAGCAAAUGUGGGCAUGACAGUCUGAAAAUUUUACCCACCGCCCUUUGCUAAUAUCUUUAAAUAUUAAAAGACUGCCUGUCUCAAUGGUGUGAUCACAAUAUUUAUCGUUGGUUCCUUGGAAAAUGAGGUUGAGUAGAUUAUUUAAAAUCUUUUUGCAGUGUUAACAAAGCUUUAUUUUAGUUGACAUUUUAUUGCAAACAGCUGAGAUCAGUAAUCAUUAGAAUGGUCUUCGCUAUUCAGUCUUACAUAAGCAGCAUGAAAUUCAUGAGAUGCAACUUUGAGUCUUUUAAGAGAGGAAAAAGAAUGGUAUAUAAAUAUUACAAUAAAAUCCAUAAGUUGAUAAUCCAAAGAAAUCCUGAAACAUUUUUAAAACUAGUUAGAAAAAGUCUUUGUAGAUUCAGACUACUUCAUAAGAUGCAACUUAAUGGGGGGGGGGGGUUGAAACUUUUUUUUAGCGAAUCAUGAAAAGUAGUUUCAUAAUGCAUAAUAAUUUAGAAAUCAGGCUCCAUCGAUACACUUCAGUGGACACUCAUGGGGAUUUGGUUAACCAGUUAAAAUUCAUGAGUAAACCAGAUUCUUUUUGAAACCUGAAAUUUUUCGGGGAGGCCUGUACAGCCCUGAACUUCAUACAGAUAUGAAUGAAUAAGGGUUCACCUCCACCUAAAAAAGAGUGUAGUGAAAUGGCACAGGCCUCUAUAUCAUAUCUGAUUGCAAACAGUAUGUAUCCAUUAUUAUUUUUAAAACAAAAUCAAGAAACAUGCCUUUCUAAAGGAAGAACUUAUGUCCAGGAAUGCCCAGAUUACUGCAAAACAAUAAGCAAUCUAGUUCCAAGAUAAAGUACAAACUAGGAAUGUAUGGGUACCUGGAGGAUGAAGUAAAAAAAAAAACCCUAUGCCUGGAGUUUCUAAAGAUCCAAAACCUUCGGACAAUGCUAUUCCUAUGACUCUUGGAAUGUAUCUGUCAAGAGUCAGACGCCAGUUAACAUACAAAACAGAGUUUAUUCCGAAGAUAAGCCAAAAAAUAACAUAAACACAGGAAAUAUCCUUGAAACACUUCACUUUUCAGUGUUUCGAGAGUAGAUUGGACAAUAACAACUCAAAAACGAGCCACGCUAAUUUCCCAUGCUGGCAUUCAAUAAAAAACUAAAUAACGCUUCAAUUCAGCUUUGGCAAACAAAUAGAGUUAAUUGCUGGAAAAUAAACAAACUAGAAAAGCAGUAAAGCUGCUUCCACGGUGCAGAUAAGCCGAGAGCCUCAAAGGGAUGAUGAAUAGCCGUCGUCAGAAGAAUCCAAGGUCAGGAGGCAGCAGAAAUUCCGAAAGACAAACCAAUAGUCAGAAGCCGGGAGUAGCCGUCAGUCAGAGGGUGUAGACAGAAGCCAGGUCAAAUUCAAUCCAAAGUCCGAAGAGGGUGCAGUCAUCCAAAACAGGUCCACGAUAAGACACAGCGAGAGCCAAGCUAGAUGAUAUCAGCAGAUUCAAAUCAUAGUCCAAGUCCAGUCUUCAUGGAAACACAGAGAUCCCAAUGGCGCCUCAGCAACACCUUGCCACACGCAAAGUGCAGUGGCCAAACAUUCCCAUUUUAUUCCCCUUCCUCCUGGGUGACCAAACACUCACACCCAAACACCAGGUGUCCCAAAUCUACUCAGAGUCUGAACUCCACACAGCUAGAGCUCGUGGAUCUGGAGUACCUAGCAAUUCGUCAGAGUCCCAAUCAUCCUGCCCACACUUAGCCCCAUGAACACUUAAAGAACCAUCCUCCCUUCUCCAAGCAUCCCAAUUGGGAUCAGCUCCUGCAGAAACCCCAGGUUCAGAAGUAUCCAUAAGCCCCAAAUCCCCAGACAUCUCCGGUGGCUGUGCCCAUUCAGUGCCCGCUUCCCCAGCCACCACCUGUUCCUCAGCAUCCAUCUCCCCAUCUGAAUCUUCCUCAGAAGAUCUCCCAGACUACUAUAUAAUCGGUUCCUCCCCAACGCCCUCCAGGGACCCCUCAACACCGGGGUCUGCAC
ensembl:lncRNA